AUACUUAUCUGGACCGAGUUAAUGGAUAAUCUAGAAGGCCCAUGGCCUAGAUUGGUGACUUAAAUUGCUCUUGAAAGGGCUCUCAUCUAAGUUCACUUGAUGCGGUCGAGCUUGCUUCAUAGUUUUUGGUAGUAAGGUCUAUGUUUGUGCGGCCUAAG
rnacentral:snRNA from 1 species